rnacentral:rRNA from 1 species
UACGAGGGGGGGCAAGCGUUGUUCGGAAUUAUUGGGCGUAAAGGGUGCGUAGGCGGUCUGACAAGUCUGAUGUGAAAUCUAUGGGCUCAACCCAUAGUCUGCAUCGGAAACUGUCGGGCUUGAGUAUGGGAGAGGUGAGUGGAAUUUCCGGUGUAGCGGUGAAAUGCGUUGAUAUCGGGAGGAACUCCGGCGGCGAAAGCGGUGCACUGGUGGAUUACUGACGCUGAGGUGCGAAAGCCAGGGGAGCAAACGGG